rnacentral:lncRNA from 1 species
GAAACCGACUGCCGGGAGGUUGAACAGUACGCUGACUUUCGCCAGCCGCUUUUGGCUUUUUUCUUGACCAAUUAGCUGGCUGGUAAUGGGCUGCUUCUUCCUCCCAGUCUGUUUCCUCAGAGGAGGAUUCUUCACUUGCUUCAGAGCUACUAAGAGCUGGCUUCCUGAGCUCAUCUAGUGACGAGUAUCUCCUAGAGACCUCCGCUAAUCGAUCUUUUUUCUUCUCCCUUUUUCCUCUUUUUCUUCUAAUCUCUCUCCAGGUAUUCCUACCUAACCUUAACUUUUCCUCGGGUUCAAGACCCUUGGAAAGGCCUGUAUACUUAUUUUGUGUACCAUACUUCCUCUUUGUUCCUACUCUCUCUCCCCGCUUUACUUCUGAUAGAUUGUCCUGAAUUUCCUCUAGAAUUUUCAGCCCUAUCUUAAUCACUUGAUAGCAUGUGAAAAAGAACAAAAGGGCUCCUAACACCAGAAAAAAUUCAAGGCCAAACAUACUCACUGGUACUCUCGUUCCCCAGCUGAAAAGUUCUGAAUUCAUACAGUUGAAUCCUUCUUAACAGUCUGCUUUACGGGAACCUUUAUCACCGUCGUUCCCCAGCUGAUGAGUUCUGAAUUCGGCAGUUGAAUCCUUCUCAACAGUCUGUGUUACGGGAACCUUUAUAAACGUGAUCCGCAGUUCUGGUUCUGAAAUGAAGUAUCCCUCCUGCGCCAGUCCGGAGUUUUUUCUCGUCCCGGAAUUCGGCACCAAUUGUUAUUCGUCGCGUUCUCACGACCGGCCAGGAAGAACACAACAACCAGAAUCUUCUACGGCAAAGCUUUAUUGCUUACAUCUUAUGGGGCCAGAGUGUAAGAAGCAAGAGAGAGCGAGAAGCAAGAGAGAGAGAAAAACGAAACCCCUUCUAUUUUAAAGAGAACAACCAUUGCCUAGGGCGCAUCACUCCCUGAUUGGCUGCAGCCCAUGGCCGAGCUGACGUUCACGGGAAAAACAGAGUACAAGUAGUCGUAAAUACCCUUGGCUCAUGCGCAGAUUAUUUGUUUACCAACUUAGAACACAGGAUGUCAGCGCCAUCUUGUGACGGCGAAUGUGGGGGCGGCUUCCCACAGCAGGCAGUGUGGCCAGCUGUGCCUUCUCACUGCAGGCAGUGUGGCCAGCUGUGCUCCCUCACUGCAGGCAGUGUGGCCAGCUGUGCCUUCUCACUGCAGGCAGUGUGGCCAGCUGUGCCCCCUUACUGCAGGCAGUGUGGCCAGCUGUGCCCCCUUACUAUAGACACAGUGUGACCAGAUAUGCAGACUCCAUGAUUUUGCUACCACAGUGAACUUCACCCUUGAACUGUGAGUUGAAAUAAAGUCUUCCUUCCUUAAGUUGCUUUCAUCAGUAUACUUUAUCACAGCAAUAGAACAAGUAACUAAAAGUUGUUAGCAAUAGAACAAGUAACACAAAGUAUUUUGUGAUACUCUAAUCAGAUAACUUUUAUUGUAGUAUAUUAUUGCAACUGUUCUAAUUUAUUGUUGUUUUGUUGUUAAUUUCUUGCUGUGCCUAUUUUAAAAUUAGAUUUUAUCUAAGGAAGUGGGUGAUGAUAUCUUAUAUACAGGGUCUGGUACUCUCCAUGGUUUCUGCAAGUCAUUGGUUCAUUAACAAUAUUUAUAUUUGAUUAUUGCUUGUUUCUUAAAGAAAUAGGAGAGAAAUAACAAAUUUGUGUUUGUUUCUUUUUAUUUAAAAAAUACAAGUAUAUAU